UCAGAACGAACGCUGGCGGCGUGCUUAACACAUGCAAGUCGAACGCGAAAGGGACUUCGGUCCUGAGUAAAGUGGCGCACGGGUGAGUAACGCGUAGAUAACCUGUCUUCAUGUCUGGAAUAAUACGCCAAAGGGGUACUAAUACCGGAUAUUCUUGCUUUUCAUAAGUUAUGCAAGCAAAGGUGGCCUCUGCAUAUGCUACUGCAUGAAGAGGGGUCUGCGUACCAUUAGCUAGUAGGUGGGGUAAUGGCCUACCUAGGCGACGAUGGUUAGCGGGUCUGAGAGGAUGAUCCGCCACACUGGCACUGGAACACGGGCCAGACUCCUACGGGAGGCAGCAGUGAGGAAUAUUGCGCAAUGGGGGAAACCCUGACGCAGCGACGCCGCGUGAAGUGAGGAAGGCCUUCGGGUCGUAAAGCUCUGUCAAGAGGAAAGAAGUGUACAAUGGCUAAUACCUGUUGUAUUUGACGGUACCUCUAAAGGAAGCACCGGCUAACUCCGUGCCAGCCGCAGC
rnacentral:rRNA from 1 species